rnacentral:rRNA from 1 species
GAGUUUGAUCAUGGCUCAGGACGAACGCUGGCGGCGUGCUUAACACAUGCAAGUCGAACGUGAUUUUUGUGGAAGUUCCUUCGGGAAUGGAAGCGAAAUGAAAGUGGCGAACGGGUGAGUAACACGUGAGCAACCUACCUUACACAGGGGGAUAGCCGUUGGAAACGACGAUUAAUACCGCAUGAGACCACAGAAUCGCAUGAUAUAGGGGUCAAAGAUUUAUCGGUGUAAGAAGGGCUCGCGUCUGAUUAGCUAGUUGGAAGGGUAAAGGCCUACCAAGGCGACGAUCAGUAGCCGGUCUGAGAGGAUGAACGGCCACAUUGGAACUGAGACACGGUCCAAACUCCUACGGGAGGCAGCAGUGGGGAAUAUUGCACAAUGGGGGGAACCCUGAUGCAGCGACGCCGCGUGAGCGAAGAAGGUUUUCGAAUCGUAAAGCUCUGUCCUAUGAGAAGAUAAUGACG